rnacentral:rRNA from 1 species
AUUGAACGCUGGCGGCAGGCCUAACACAUGCAAGUCGAACGAGUGGCGGACGUGUUAGUAAUGUCUGGGAAACUGCCUGAUGGAGGGGGAUAACUACUGGAAACGUUAGCUAAUACCGCAUACCAUCAGAUGUUCCCAGAUGUGAUUAGCUAGUUGGUGGGGUAACGGCUCACCAAGACGCCGAUCCCUAGCUGGGCUGAGAGGAUGACCAGACACACUUGAAAUGUGAAACGGUCCAGAAGCCUACGGGAGGAGGCAGGGCAGAAUAUUGCACAAUGGGCGCAAGCCUGGUGCAGCCAGGCGGCGUGGAUGAAGAAGGCCUUAGGGUUGUAAAGUACUUUCAGCGGGGAGGCGUUACCUGCAGAAGAAGCACCGGCUGACUCCGUGCCAGCAGCCGCGGUAAUAC